UACGAGGGGGGCGAGCGUUGUUCGGAAUCACUGGGCGUAAAGAGUGCGUAGGCGGUUAUGAAAGUUAGAAGUGAAAGCCCAGAGCUCAACUCUGGAAUUGCUUUUAAAACUACAUGACUCGAAUUCGGGAGAGGAUAGCGGAAUUGUCAGUGUAGCAGUGAAAUGCGUAGAUAUUGACAGGAACACCGGUGGCGUAAGCGGCUAUCUGGACCGACAUUGACGCUGAGGCACGAAAGCGUGGGGAUCAAACAGG
rnacentral:rRNA from 1 species